rnacentral:antisense_RNA from 1 species
AGCUGACGAAAUACUCCACCGCGUUGUGCG